rnacentral:rRNA from 1 species
UACGUAGGGUGCGAGCGUUAAUCGGAAUUACUGGGCGUAAAGCGUGCGCAGGCGGUCUAUUAAGACAGAUGUGAAAUCCCCCGGGCUUAACCUGGGAACUGCAUUUGUGACUGGCAGGCUAGAGUAUGGCAGAGGGGGGUAGAAUUCCACGUGUAGCAGUGAAAUGCGUAGAGAUGUGGAGGAAUACCGAUGGCGAAGGCAGCCCCCUGGGCCAAUACUGACGCUCAUGC